rnacentral:rRNA from 1 species
UACGUAGGGGGCUAGCGUUGUCCGGAAUCAUUGGGCGUAAAGAGCGCGUAGGCGGCCAGAUAAGUCCGGUGUGAAAGUCACAGGCUCAACCUGUGAAUGCCGCUGGAAACUGUCUGGCUAGAGGUCCGGAAGGGGCGAGUGGAAUUCCUGGUGUAGCGGUGAAAUGCGCAGAUAUCGGGAGGAACACCUAUGGCGAAGGCAGCUCGCUGGGACGUUACUGACGCUGAGACGCGAAAGCGUGGGGAGCAAACAGG